AGGCCUCCGCGCGUGCUCACUGGGUGCUACGCGUGCCUGUGAAUCCCCUCCGCCAUUCUAGCUUUUGGCUGCCCCAAACCAAGCCUCUGUGUCUGAGUAGGGCAGCGCUUUGGGGACACAAAUAUUCCCUUUUCUUUGGGCUUCGCCUUGUACUUCUUCGUUCCCAGGGCAAAUCUGGGGCGGCAAGUAUUAGUGUCUCCAUUGCGCUGCUGCCCAGGAGAUAGAAGGCUGAGCCCCGCACAGAGUUCAGGCUGACUGGGUCCUGGGCCCAGCGAGAAGCUGCCGCUGCCCGGAUGUUGCGAUGGCUGAUCGGGGGAGGCCGAGAACCUCAGGGACUGGCCGAGAAAUCUCCCUUACAGACAAUAGGUGAAGAACAAACCCAGAAUCCCUACACUGAACUGCUUGUACUGAAAGCUCAUCAUGAUAUUGUACGGUUUCUGGUACAGUUAGAUGAAUACAGGUUUGCAUCUGCUGGUGAUGAUGGAAUUGUAGUUGUGUGGAAUGCCCAGACAGGAGAAAAACUUCUGGAACUUAAUGGGCACACUCAGAAGAUAACAGCCAUUAUUACAUUCCCUUCCUUGGAAGUUUGUGAAGAAAAGAAUCAACUGAUCUUGACAGCCUCUGCUGAUAGAACAGUUAUUGUAUGGGAUUGUGAUACUGGCAGACAAGUUCAGAAAGUAUCAUGCUUCCAGUCUACUGUAAAGUGCUUAAUUGUUCUUCAGAGACUAGAUAUUUGGCUCUCUGGUGGGAAUGACCUAUGUGUGUGGAACCGAAAAUUAGAUCUCCUAUGUAAGACCAGCCACCUUUCUGAUACAGGGAUCAGUGCUUUGAUUGAAAUACCUAAGAACUGUGUUGUGGCAGCAGUUGGCAAAGAACUGAUAAUUUUCAGGUUGGUAACACCAACAGGAGAAUCACUGGAAUGGGAUAUUCUUGAAAUUAAGCGCCUCCUUGAUCACCAGGAUAAUAUUCUCUCCUUGGUUAAUGUCAAUGAUUUGAGUUUUGUAACUGGCUCCCAUGUUGGAGAAAUGAUCAUCUGGAAUAUUCUGGACUGGACAGUGCAGGCCCGUGAAUGCAACUUCUGGGACCCAUCUCCACAGCUGGACACCCAACAAGAAAUAAAACUCUGUCAAAAACCUAAUGACAUUUCUGUUCAUCACUUCACAUGGGAUGAAGAGAAUGUAUUUGCUGCCGUUGGAAGGGGUUUAUAUGUGUAUAACCUUCAAAUGAAGCGUGUGAUUGCUUGCCAGAAAACUGCCCAUGACUCCAGUGUCCUGCACAUUGCCAAACUUCCAAACAGGCAGUUAAUCUCAUGCUCGGAAGAUGGCAGUGUACGCAUUUGGGAGUUAAGAGAAAAACAGCAGCUUGCAGCUGAACCUGUACCAACAGGUUUUUUUAACAUGUGGGGAUUUGGAAGAGUAAACAAACAAGCCAGCCAACCUGUUAAAAAGCAACAGGAAAAUGCCACUCCGUGUUCAUUGGAGCUUAUUGGAGAUUUGAUUGGACACUCCUCAUCUGUGGAGAUGUUUCUGUACUUUGAAGAUCAUGGACUAGUGACUUGUUCUGCUGAUCAUCUCAUUAUUUUGUGGAAAAAUGGAGAAAGAGAAUCUGGAUUGCGCAGUUUAAAAUUAUUUCAAAAACUGGAGGAGAAUGGUGACUUACAUCUUGCUGUGUAGUUGAAGGAAUUUGGAAUACUUGUGCAUGAACCUUGAACAUCAAAUAUAGGUUUCCAGUGUUCUGCAUUCCAAUUCAGUCUCUAUUUAUACCUCUGAAAAAUGCAGCAUGGAGUACAGAGGAUUUGAAAAGAAAAUGAAGCUAUUUUGUUUAUGGAGUUUCUAAUAUUUACAAUACAUAGAGAACAGGUGGCCGGUAAAAGAGAAAGGAAAAUCUCAAGUCUGACUUUAUGGAGAUCACAGAAAGUUUUCAAAAGAGCUGUAUAAAAAUAUGCACUUGUGCUUUAGAAGCUUUUAGCAUACAAUUAAUAGCUUAAAAUAGUAUUUACUGCUUCCCCUUACGUCUGUUUUCUGAUAUAUUUACACACCUUGCAGUCUUUUCUGUUUUACAUCAUUAAAGCAAAAUGGCAAGGUCUCAAAUAUAGAUUAAAAACAUCUGAACCCUGAAACUUCCCCAUCCCUCCCCAAAUACAUUAUGUAUAGAUGGUACACUGCGUAACAUACUCCAUGGACUUGUACCCAGGAAAUUCAGAUUGCUUUAAUAAAAAUUUUAAACUGUGAA